UAACGCGUGGGUAACCUGCCUCAUACAGGGGGAUAACAGUUGGAAAUGACUGCUAAUACCGCAUAAGCGCACAGUGCUGCAUGGCACAGUGUGAAAAACUCCGGUGGUAUGAGAUGGACUCGCGUCUGAUUAGCUAGUUGGUGGGGUAACGGCCUACCAAGGCGACGAUCAGUAGCCGGCCUGAGAGGGUGAACGGCCACAUUGGGACUGAGACACGGCCCAA
rnacentral:rRNA from 1 species